CUGAUGUCUGUGAUUUUCUCCUCUCUCGUCCCUAUCACGAGAUUUGGUCAAGCGAAAGGGACAAAGAACUUUUGAAGAAAUCUGCAGGUUUGGCUCUAUUCAAACAGCUAUAUUCUUUUCAUUUUUUUCAUAAAAAUCUCUUCUCUUUGCUGUGGUAUUCAUGGUGGACAAUCAAUUCUUUGGUCCUUUGUCAAUUCAAAAUUCAACUGAUGAAUUUAUCUUCUCUGUUCAAAAUUCAAACGACACUUUUUAAUUCCCGCUCUUCAAAACGCUAGCUUCUUGGUCUAUAAAGAUUCUCUUAUGGAGCUCACAAAAGGGAGGUUUUGGACCGCCCCUUUUACCCCAAAAUUGAUGGUUGUUACCGACCUUCUCACCCUAGACUUUGUUCGAAGCCGCUGCCUCUCUCUUUAAACACAAGCUUCAACUGCCUCUAUCCCUUGAAACUUAUUGUUCUUCUUCUAAAAAUUCUAGCUUGCUUUCUUACUCCUCCUUCCCCGUUUACUCCUAGCAAUACUCUUCAUUUUUUGGCGAUUUGUUGCAUUUCGGGUUAGCGGAUUCGAGGAAUGAGAUAAUAGUCCCUUGACUCUCACCCAUGUUUGCUGCACAUUUUGUUAAGAUUCUUAUGUUCGGUAACUAUUUUGUAGAGCUGGUAGUUGCUACGGCAUGUUAGUUAAAAUUCCCUUCCAUAUUGCAAACUCGUUUUGAGGUAGAAACUUGUCUAGCCAUUCAAAAAAUAAGGUAUCUUUGCUGAAUUGGAAAACUUCUUGUGUGACUCUGUAUUUUGUCCCGGGCCCGGGCCUAAACGUGGUUUCGCGGGCUGGGCUUUGUGGGUCUGAGCUCUGGUGGUCUCGGGUUUCGUGGGCUCAUUGUGUGAGACCAACCCAUGAUGAGCCUAAGCCCAUGUGGUCCUGGGCUUAGGGGGACGGGUUUCGUGUGCCUGGCGGGCUUUUUUGUAAUCUUUUUGUUUAAGGCAAUAUCUUGUAUAGUAACAACAACAACAACUAUCCAGUAUAGUCUCACAAAGUGGGGUCUGGGGAGGGUAAUAUGUANNN
rnacentral:lncRNA from 1 species